rnacentral:rRNA from 1 species
AUAUUGCCCGUACCGCAAACCGACACAGGUACUCAAGUGGAGAACACUAAGGUGAGCGAGUGAACUAUUGUUAAGGAACUCUGCAAAAUGAGUCCGUAACUUCGGAAGAAGGACUGCUGGUUUUAUACCAGCCGCAGCAAAUAGGCCCAAACAACUGUUUAUCAAAAACACAGGUUUCUGCAAAAUCGUAAGAUGAAGUAUAGGGGCUGACGCCUGCCCAGUGCUGGAAGGUUAAAAGGAGGACUUAGCUUCGGCGAAGGUCUUAAUUGAAGCCCCAGUGAACGGCGGCCGUAACUAUAACGGUCCUAAGGUAGCGAAAUUCCUUGUCGGGUAAGUUCCGACCCGCAUGAAAGGCGUAAUGAUUUGGGCGCUGUCUCAACAAUAGACUCGGUGAAAUUUAAAUUCCAGUGAAGAUGCUGGGUACCCGCGACAGGACGGAAAGACCCCGUGGAGCUUUACUGUAGCUUGAUAUUGAAUGUUUGUGCUGCAUGUGCAGGAUAGGUAGGAGACUUUGAAGUCGGAACGCUAGUUUCGAUUGAGUCACCCUUGAGAUACUACCUCUGUUGUAUGAACGUUCUAACUCUGAUCAGUUAUCCUGAUCGAAGACAGUGUCUGGCAGGCAGUUUGACUGGGGCGGUCGCCUCCUAAAAGAUAACGGAGGCGCUCAAAGGUUUGCUCAGAAUGGUUGGAAAUCAUUCGUAGCGUGUAAAGGCAUAAGCAAGCUUGACUGUGAGACUGACAAGUCGAGCAGGUACGAAAGUAGGACUUAGUGAUCCGGUGGUUCCGUAUGGAAGGGCCAUCGCUCAACGGACAAAAGCUACCCCGGGGAUAACAGGCUCAUCUCCCCCAAGAGUCCACAUCGACGGGGAGGUUUGGCACCUCGAUGUCGGCUCAUCGCAUCCUGGGGCUGUAGUCGGUCCCAAGGGUUGGGCUGUUCGCCCAUUAAAGCGGUACGCGAGCUGGGUUCAGAACGUCGUGAGACAGUUCGGUCCCUAUCCGUCGUGGGCGCAGGAAAUUUGAGAGGAUCUGUCCUUAGUACGAGAGGACCGGGAUGGACAUACCUCUGGUGUACCAGUUGUUCUGCCAAGAGCACCGCUGGGUAGCUACGUAUGGAUUAGAUAAUCGCUGAAAGCAUCUAAGUGAGAAACUAACCUCGAGAUGAGAUUUCCCAUUCGUCAGAAGUAAGACCCCUGAGAGACGAUCAGGUAGAUAGGCUAGAAGUGGAAGUGUAGUGAUGCAUGGAGCGGACUAGUACUAAUAGGUCGAGGACUUAACCAAG